rnacentral:misc_RNA from 1 species
CAAAUAAGCUGGGGGAGGAGGGGCACUCUACAUCAUUUCGGAAAUCAAAAAAGAUAGGAAACAAGGUUUUCCAGCUUCUAUACCACUGUUCCAAAGGUUGGUUUGCAUACUAAAUUAUGAUCUAAUCUACGUUGUGAAAGCCUGGAAGAAGAGAAGUGAUGAAACCAAAGACAAUCAUUUGAAUCUCCUUGACAAUUCCCCACCAGUGGUUGCCACCGUCUCCGCCACCAGGUUCUGCUACAUUCUCGUUCUCUACAGCCUGGUUACCAUCCUCUGCUGGUCGAUUUUCAUUAUCAGCCCCAGCUUGACCCUCUGCUAAACCAACAUUCUCAUUCUGCCUUGCAGCAACAGCAGCAUUUUCAGCCCUUGCAACUGGCCUGGGAGGACGGGGAGGUUGGGCUGCUCUUCUCAUGCUUUGUGAGAGCCAUUGUACUAAUGGUGUGAGAGCUCCAGUUUGAUACAAAUAGACAAGUGAAGCAAAGAACACAAGCACAACAAGUCUUGUUCUUGAUCCAUCUUGGUUGAACAAAAAGAUUACAGCUGCCAGCUUAAGUAUUAAUAACAAAUCAAGCUGAAAUGCAAUUUGAAAUCUCCUCACAACAACUUGUCUUUGGGGUGCAGCCUGCUGCUGUUGUGGCUGCUGUCCCCCUUGCCCCUGAUCAUUGGCUGCCCCAGUAUCAGGACCUGAC